CCUACGGGUGGCAGCAGUAGGGAAUCUUCCACAAUGGGCGCAAGCCUGAUGGAGCAACACCGCGUGAGUGAAGAAGGGUUUCGGCUCGUAAAGCUCUGUUGUUGGGGAAGAACGUGCGUGAGAGUAACUGUUCACGCAGUGACGGUAUCCAAUCAGAAAGUCACGGCUAACUACGUGCCAGCAGCCGCGGUAAUACGUAGGUGGCAAGCAUUAUCCGGAUUUAUUGGGCGUAAAGCGAGCGCAGGCGGUUGGUUAGGUCUGAUGUGAAAGCCUUCGGCUUAACCGAAGAAGUGCAUCGGAAACCGGGAGACUUGAGUGCAGAAGAGGAAAGUGGAACGCGAGGUGUAGCGGUGGAAUGCGUAGAUAUAUGGAAGAACACCAGUGGCGAAGGCGGCUUUCUGGACUGAAACUGACGCUGAGGCACGAAAGCGUGGGGAGCGAACAGGAUUAGAUACCCUUGUAGUC
rnacentral:rRNA from 1 species